AUUGAACGCUGGCGGCAUGCUUUACACAUGCAAGUCGAACGGUAACAGGCCGCGAGGUGCUGACGAGUGGCGAACGGGUGAGUAAUGCAUCGGAACGUGCCCAGUCGUGGGGGAUAACGCAGCGAAAGCUGCGCUAAUACCGCAUACGAUCUAUGGAUGAAAGCGGGGGACCGUAAGGCCUCGCGCGAUUGGAGCGGCCGAUGUCAGAUUAGGUAGUUGGUGGGGUAAAGGCUCACCAAGCCAACGAUCUGUAGCUGGUCUGAGAGGACGACCAGCCACACUGGGACUGAGACACGGCCCAGACUCCUACGGGAGGCAGCAGUGGGGAAUUUUGGACAAUGGGCGCAAGCCUGAUCCAGCAAUGCCGCGUGCAGGAAGAAGGCCUUCGGGUUGUAAACUGCUUUUGUACGGAACGAAACGGUUCGGGUUAAUACCCUGAGCUAAUGACGGUACCGUAAGAAUAAGCACCAGCUAACUACGUGCCAGCCGCCGCCGUAACAC
rnacentral:rRNA from 1 species